ensembl:lncRNA
UCAAAAAACUAGUGCUGAUUACUCAUUCAUUUGCAAACACGUAGAUUUAGUUGAACACAUACAAGAGGCAAUAUAUUGAUAAAAUGAAGACACAAACUGUCUCCCCACUUAAGAGAAAUUUAUAAAACAGAGCAGUUAUAUUCCAAACCUACAAAAGUGUAAGAUUAAAAAAUACAUCCAAAUAAAACAAAAUCAUCUCUGCAUGGUGAAACUUAAUUCCAAUUCUGCCACAUUCCUCCAAACCGAGAGGAAAAGCUGCCCUCUUUUGGUCAGACAGCAGAAGUGUGCGGGAUUCAACAGCCUCAAUACGAUAUCUGUAAACAAACAAUGCUUUGAAAUGUAUUAACAUAAAUAUAAAUAAAAGAAUCUCAGGGUAAUAUACUCAACACAAUAUGUUUGAUACAACCUUGUUUAAUAGAACAUUUGUACAACCAAGAAUGUAAAAAAACAAAACAAAACAAAACAAAAGCAGCUAAAAUGAAGAGUGAUUCACUUUUUUCUUUUUAAAAAAAUAUUGUCUGCGUUUGCCCCUUGUUCACAAACCAUUUUGAAAAUUAUAACACAAAAAAAAACAUUGAAAGGCAAUUACAUUUCUUGGCGAUAUAAAUAUAGUGGUCUGAACAAGGUUUCAAACAACUCAUUAAAGAAGAGCAUUUUUGAGUUACACAAUCCUGGUCGCAGUCUGAUUUGUUGAUCUAAUGGUACAAAACCAAUUCUUUCUCUUUUUUUCCUUAAAUUUAAAUGUGCUCUUCAUGUUGACUAUAUACAUUCUGUAUGGCAGUAGUCUGUAAGUACUGACUGCUCCCAACCUUUUAGUAAGUGUAGUCUGAGUAGUAAUCCUUUGGAGGACCAUAGCCCCGGUUACAGUGCGUUCCUCCCCACAUUGACCCUCUGCCCGGUCUGGACCUCAUGGGCAUGGGGGGCAUUCCUCUACCUCUGAAGCCUCCACGUCUGAUGUCCAUAAGCCCUGGAAUGGGCCCUCGGGGGCCAAACAUGCGGUUCCCACUGUGUGGGAUCGGCCCGUGUGGCCCUCCUCGGCAUGCAGGACGCAUCGUGACUCCAGGCCGGGGUAGGAGCCCUCUGGGGUUGCAAGGCAUGCCCCCUCCAGACAUGCCUCGGACAUGUGUCAUGCCUCGGGCAUGUGUCAUGCCACCUCUGUGGCUCUCUGUGCAAGAGUCUACUGAUGUCCUACUCCCCUGACUGCAGGGCAUUACACUGCCCGAUGUGUUGCUUUUCUCAGUCCCUCCAUCCUGGUACUGUAAUGAGGAAGGCGGUGUGCCAGACGUACUUCCAUCAACUUUAUUAUUAAGAGUCAAACCCUCGCCAGGCCCUAUGCAUAAUCCUUCAGUUGAUGCUGCACCUUCAUUCUUCCCAAAAGGUGCUGUGUUCCCCCCCGAAGCAUAGCUAUUCUGUGCCCUUGUUGGAGGUGCCCAGUUAUACAUGGGUGGCACAGGGGGUGUGGGUAUGGGCCCAGGGAAUACAGGACCAUCUGGGUAGCUGGGCAUAGUGCAAGGUAUAGAGGAGGAAGAAGAGGAAGCGAGGACAGGAGGUGAAGAAUAGGUAGAGCUCAUGUGAUAGCCUGGAGAACCGGAAUAGGGGCUCCACUGUGCUGAGUUGGGGUACAAGUAGCUCUGGUGGGGGUUCACACCAAAACCAACCAAGUUGUCCUCCCCCCCAGGCAUGGAUGUUCCAGCCUGCUUAGUAGCUUUAUACUGUGAGAUGGCCGCCUUGAGAACAUUGUAAUCCACAGAACAAGAGGACAGAGGGACUGUUUUAUGUGGGUCAGAGAGAGGGGGCAGAAUGUCCUCGCUCACAGGUUGAAGAGGUAGAGUGGCCUGCUUCUCCACUGCCCUGUCCUCCGCUUGCAUGGUUGCAUCCUCAUCCGAGUCUAGGGACAUGUCCUCCUCAUCCAUGCACGAAUCUGGCUCUGCUGGAGAUGAAAGGCAAUGAUAGCAACUUACUUUCAAGAAAAAAGAAGAAAAAAAAAGAAAGAAAGAAAAAAAGCACAAACACACACACACACACACAUCACAUAAACUGUUAAAUUCUGGAAUAUUGAUAUUAUAAAUUAGGCCAAUUGUAGGCUUGAAGAAAGAUAAAUAAAAAUGUGAAGUAGGGUUGUGUAAUUAACUGGAUUUUAACAUAACUGUGAAUUCAAUAUGUGGCAAAAUAGCUGUGAUUUAGCCAUUACUGCGCAACUCUAAUCUGAAGUGUGAAUGUUGGAGGGGGUUCCAGAGAAAAGGUGAUACGCUGGAGGUACAAAAGAAAGAAAAGGAGAACAAUGGAAUAAAUCAAAACAAAGCAAGUUAGAUCUGCUUUCAGAAAAUAAUAAAGCAAUUAAAAUAUUCAUUGUGGGAUUAAAUGCUUCCUUAACCACAAAGUACACACCGUGGCGGUUACCUGGAGCCGGAACAAUGGGCAGUGAGUCUUCAGCUUGAGUCCUGCAUAUCAGGCUCUCGAAGUCUCUCAUGAUGUCAUUCAAGCUAGUUGUGAUGAUCCCAUUACUAGAGAACUUGGUCACAUCAAAGGACUUAUCUGUUAAAAAAAAGAAAAAAAAAGAAAGAAAAGGGAAGAUGCAUCAUGCUCUAACUCCUUUGACAGCAUUAAUAAGUAAAACUAAAUAGAGGGAUAAACAGGCAUGGGGUAAUUAAACAGGAUUAAAGACUAUUAGUCGCUCCAGGAUUUUGCGAUCGCAGAUUAAUGCAAAAUCAAAGAAACACUGCAAUUUUAGCAAUUUUUCAAAAUUACUGCAGAUUUUCCACAGACUUGGUCCAAGACGCGUCAUGUGACGUCAUCACAACAUGCAGCCAAAGCCACCUUCAAUGCACGUGCGUUGAUUAUAAGUACAGCUAAAAGGUCUCAUUUACCAGCAAAAGACCAUGCAAAACUAUGUUGUGCAACUGCAAUUUCACCAAUUCACCUUUUUUUGCACUGCCAAUUUCGAAAAAAGUCGUAGCAAAAUCAAGCAUUUUUGGCCGUAGCAAUCACAAAAUACCUCAGCGAAAUCCUGUACGGACUGAGUCUAUUGCUGUUUGAGUGUACCUGUGAGGAAGAUGACGUGUCUGAGCUGUGUGUGCUGAGCCUGUAACUUCACCAAACAGUCCAGAUCUGGAGCUUGUCUUGAUGGAGCAUCACACUCGUGGUAAGGCAAGAAUUCCACCAGGUGCUUCUUUUGAUAAGUUGUCAGCAGAUUUAACAGAUCCAGAGCGCCGCUGUUUGACCUG